CCCCCGCGUGACCUCACCGCGGUGGAACAGCGGGAGGAAAGGGGAGGGAGGAAGCAGGCGGGGUGAGAACGGUCGGAGAACUAGCUUCUUGGCAUGCACUUGAUUUUGAUUGAUCUUCAUAACAACCCCAAUCAGAUGAAGAACAAUUGGUCUACAUCUUGCAAGUGACGAAACUGAAGUUCACCAGGGUUAAGUGACUUGCCCAGAGUCACACAGCUAUUUGAAAAUUCAAACCCACUCUGACUCCAAGGUCAACAUGCUGUCUAACCACUUGGCCUCAUUGCUUCUCAAAACUAACAUUUAUUUAGCUUGAAAAUUUGUGGGGAGGGUGUGACCAGGAAGAACCUGGUUACUUAACCAAGUUAAACAUGAGGCCUUUGUUCUGUUUUAAAAGAUGGCGGCUCCCCCGCCCCCCCAAAGGUGCACAUUGCCAUUAGCACAAUUGAGACACUGAUCCUAUAUCCUUGAGAGGGAUAUGAAUAAUAAACACCCUUACCCUGAGUGCUGAUUGGCUAUACUACAUGGAUGGGUAUGAAAAACAUAACUCUCCCCCGGGAUCAAUAGGCAUAGAUGGGAAGGUGGGUGUUGAGUUAGGCAUCCAUUGUCAGAACUGCCCUAUAUGAUUGAUUUAUUUUUUCUUUUAACUCUUUAGUCAUUCGGCAAGCAUUUAUUCUGUGACUGGCUCUAUGCAAAGCAUUAGAGGUAAUGAAGAAAGACAAAAAUCAGAUUCCUAUUCUCAAAUACCUCACAUUUCUAACAAGGGAGGCAACAUACAAUAAACUAUACAACUCUGGACAUGCAAUAUACAUGCAGUGGCAAUGGAAGGUAAUCUUAGAGGGAUGGCAGGAGGACUGACUAGGAAGAUCUUUCCCAGAAAGUGGGAUUUGAGUUGUGUUAAAAUAAGCAGAGAAUUAAGGACUUGUUAGAGGCAGCUAUGGCUAUGAUGAGUUGGUCUUGCUUCUUUCCCACAGUCAUCCUUUGCCUGAGGUCUAUCAAAACUUAAAAGAGGGCAAACAUAAGAACAAAAACCCCAUUCCCCAGCCACUCUAGCCUCUGGAUAUCGAAGCCUUUCUCAAGUUUCUGUGGAUUCGUGUGCUCUGACUGCCCCCACACCGUACCUUUUCAAAAGACUAACUGGGGCAGCUGGGCUGCUCAAUGGAUAGAGCACCAGGCUUGGAGGUGGGAGGUCCCAAGUUCAAAUAUGACCUUAGACACUUCUUAGCUGUGUGACCCAAGGCAAGUCACUUAACCUAGUCAACCUAAAAAAAUACUGAACCACCAAAGCAGUUACAAAAGAACACAUUUUUAGUCAGGAAAAGGGAGACAGUGUUCUUAUGAACAUCAUAGAGAGCCAAUACACACCAGACAGAGCCAAGCUCUGGGAACACUGUCUCUGGGAAAGACACCCAAAAUGGGAAUUUUCAUCAAAUUAAAUAAAUUAGAGUCUUUUUUUUCUUUUUUUUAAAAUGUAUUCAUUUAAAAUUUUUUAUUGUCAUGCAAAACAUUUCCAUAUUGGUCAUUGUUGUAAGAGCAUACUCAUAUAUAACCAGAACCCCAAAUAAAACCAUAAAUACACUGAUGUGAAAGAAAACUCCAAUAAGAACUUGGGGUCUUUUAUAUGCUUUAGGGCAGUGAUGGUGAACUUUUUAGGCACUGCAUGCCAUGUCCCACCCCACCACCUUACUCCAGAAAGGGGGGAGAGAGAAGGAGGGAAGUGACCCAGGUGCUGUGCUCAGAGAAGAGAGUAAGUGCUUCCAUUGGGCUGCUGGGCAGAGGGACAGGGAGGAAUAGUGGAGGGGGAAGGGAACAGAUCCACCCAAGUCCCUCUUCCUUUCUAGUAACUAACUGGUUGUCAGUGACACACAUGCCCACAGAGAGGUCUCUGCAUGCUGUGUUUGGCACAUGUGCUAUAGGUUCACCAUUGUGGCUUUAGGGAGUAUAGGAAAGGAAGGACAACUGACUGACUAACUUAGAGGCUUGGGAAAGAGUAUGUAGCCAGUGGCUAGAAUACCUAGGAAUGGCCUAGAUACAAUAAGUGAAACUAAGAAGACAAAAAGGGUAAUUAAUAUUUGACAUCUGCUUAUCCUAUACAGGAUGAUCCAUGGGUGAUUAAGGGUUUCUUAAAAUAAUGCUGUCAACCCCAAUUGCUUAUCCCUUACCACUCUUUCUGCCUUGUAAUAUAGAUUCCAAGACUAAAGGUAAGGGUUUAAUAAAAGAUAAAAAGACUAUUUCCUUCUCUGUAUUUGAUUGGAUACCCCAGUACUUUGGCAUUGAGCAAAUCCCAUAUUGUAAUCUCCUUGACCCUACUUUAAGGGUCUUUAUUAUUACUACUUUGGUAGUUUUGCUUUAUUCAGGUUGACAAAAUCAAAUGUGAGAAGGGAGAGCAUUCUGGGAAUGUGGGAAAGCCAAUGCAAAAACGUAAUGUUCAGAGAUGGAGUGUUCUAUGUGAAGAACUUCAAAACGGCCCAUGUUAUUGGAUAGAGUUCAUAAGGGGCUAAAAGCAUGUGAAAACUAUAAAUAUAGGAAGGAGACAGUUUGUGGGGGACUUUAAACAGGUCCCUCAAUGUUUUAUAGAUUUGGGUUAUACAAAACCUAACUCAUCUUCCUGCCAUCCCCAUAUCCUCCCUUCUUAAGUUCCUUACUGCCAUCCAGGGCACCAUCAUCCUGAUGUCCUCCAGGUUUAGUAUCUCAGUGUUAGUCUCUGCUCCUCACUAUCCUUCACCCCCAAACCCCUCUCUUUCUCCAAGUCUUUCACAUCUCUCACAUAUACUCUCUUCCCUCCUCUGACAGCCACCACUCAGUUUCAGAUCCUCACACUUGGACUAUUUAUUACAAUAGUCUGCUGACUGACCUUCCUCUCUCAAGUCUCUCUUCCACUCCAGUUCAUCCUCCACUCAACUAUCAAAAUGAUCUUUCCAAAGAGGAGAUUUGACCAAAUUAUUUUCUAUUCAAUAAGUUCCAGUGGCUCCCUGUUGCCUUGCUUUUAAAGCCUCUUAUUAUCCACCCUCUUCCUACCAUCCUUCUGCCAACCUGAAAACACACACACACACAAACAGAACUCCCAAAGCAGUUACAAAAGAACACCUUUAAUCAGGCAGGACAAGGGAGACAGUGCUUUUAUGGCCAGCGCAGAGUCGUACACAGAAACCACACAGAGCCUCUCAGCUCUAAGACUCUUAAGAACACCAACAAUGGGAGUUUCCCAAGACUAAAGAAUUUUGGACUCUAUUUAUAACUUAGAGGAUAUAUCCAAAGAGAAACAACUGUCAAGUUACAUAGAGGCUUGGGACAGAGGUUGUAGCUGAGGGUUGCCUAAAUAAGAAAAAGGGUUCUUAAGACUUGACCACAUCUACCACCAUAGAAAACAUCAUUGGCAAAAGAUAUAGAUCAUGUCUUUCAUAUUUCCACUUCUCAGUUAAUUCCCUGGAGGUGAACAUUCACAAGUUAUUCUGUAAAUACUAAAUCUGAAGUUGUAUAUAAUGUUCUCUUGGCUCUACUCAUUUCACUCUUCCAUAUCUCCUGUAGUUCUUUAAAAGAUUAAUUUGCUUAUCAUCACUACAUGCCCCACACCCCUAUCAACUCUUAAGAAUUUUUUAUGAGCCUUCAUAAUUAAAAUACUGACAUGCUUUGAAUCAUUGUUACCACUAACACAAAUUUAAAUGGGGAGAGAACUUGGUAUUAGCAGACCUGGGUUUCAGCCAAAGUUAUGAUACUAAUUGUAAGUGUAUGGACCAUUCUUAAGCCCUUCUGGCCCCAUUUUGCACACCUAUAAAAUGGACCAGUAGUCUAACCUCUCAGGGCCCCAGGCAACUAUAUGACUGAAGUUGCAAAGCAGGUGCUGACCUGCACUUAGAAGAGGGAGUUUCCUCAUCAGGAAUUCCCAAUAACCACAAAAAGCCAGUUCAUGUCAAAACAAAACAAAAAAUUGGGAAGAUAAUAAUCACAUUAUUUCAUCUUUUUUUUUAAAUAACCCUUAUCUUCUGCCUUUGAAUCUUCAUUCUCUUUCCUUUUAAACAUGUCCCUUUCCUAACUUCCUUAUUACUGUCAAAGAUGCCACCAACCUUGGGUUUUUUUAAAACCCUUACCUUCCAUCUUGGAAUCAAUACUGUGUAUUGGUUCCAAAGCAGAAGAAUGGUAAGGGCUAGGCAAUGGGAAUUAAGCGACUUGCCCAGGGUCACACAGUUAGGAAGUAUCGGGUCAAAUUUGAACCCAGACCCUCCCAUCUCCAGGACUCUUAAUCCAUUGAGCCACCUAGCUGCCCCCUCCCAUGAGUUUUAAUACCUACUCUACUUGUCUCAUAAAAUUCCUAUAAAACUCAAAAAAGAGAACAUAUAUGAAAGCAUUUUGCAGACUGUAAAAUACUCAAUUUAAAUACAUGUAUACACAUACAAAUAUACACCUGAUAUCAAAAAUUGUGUUGCAUAAGGGUAGCUAGAUGGCACAGUAAAUAGAAAGCCAGGCCUGGAAUCAGGAAGACCUGGGUUCAAAUUGGACUUCAGACACUUCUUAGCUGUGUAAUCCUGGGCAAGUCACUUAACCCUGCUUUUACCAAGACCUUUCCUUUCUUUCUCAGAGUUGUUACUAAAACAGAAAGUAAGGGUUUGAGGAAGUUUUGUGUUUUUUAAUUGUAGUGUAUGAUUUAUUUAUCAGAAAUAGGGUGUGGAAACAAAACAAGGACUACAUAGGAGCUAAAUAAUAUAGAUCAUAUAUUAAAUAAUAUAUACCACAUAUUAUCUAUGUUGUAUAAGUCAUGAUAAUAUAUGAUCUCCGUAAACUGUAAGCUAAUAAUAAUUAAAGACAGCAGCAUGUUGUGGGUAGAGUUCUGGGCUUGGAGUCCGAAGGGCUUUGUAAUCUCGCCUCUUACAUAAUAUGUGCUGACUGAAUCUAGGCAAGUCUUUUAACCUCUUAGUGCCCCAGGUAACUCUUAAGAGUUUAAUUUGAAGAGAAAGUGCAUGUAUGUGUAUGUUGAUCUCAUUUUAUCCUUACAACUCUUGGAGGUAGCUGCUAUUAUCUCUCAUUUUAUAGAUGAAAAAACUGAGGCAAUCAAAUAUUUGGUGACUUGAUCAGGAUGUUGAAUAAGGUCUUUUUUAUUGAUUGAAAUGAUGGAUUGAUGAAGUUUCCACACUGAAAGUUCCCCAGAUUUGUCACAGGUUCAGUGUUUGAAAAACCCCCAGCAAACCUUUGUGAUUCCAGGAAUACAGGUUAAAGGCUAAUGCAGAUAAGAACAGUACUUAUCUCAUCUAAUAGGACUAAAUCACUGACAUCAGUCUUAGACGUGAAGAAAAGAUGUUUACAACUGUAAAUAAAUGGGGGGAGGCAGUGGACCCAGGGAGCUAAAUGUACAUGGGACAACUGACUUAUCACCCUACAUUUUUUUUAACCACUUACCUUCCAUCUUAGAAUCAAUACUGUGUUUUGGUUCCAAGGCAGAAUAGCCAUAAGGGAUAGGCAAUGGGAGUUAAGUGACUUGCCCAUUGUCAAACAACUAGGGUGUAUCUGAGGUUAGAUUUGAACCCAGGACCUUCCAUCUCUAGGCCUGGCUCUGACUUCAAGUCAUCUAAUUGCCCCCUCACCCUGCAUUCUUACUAACUUAGGGGCAUGUUUCUAAAUGUCACUUUUGAGAAAUGUUGUUUCAACUGGUGUCUUUGUAAAUUGCACUCUAUAAUGCUUAAAACUCUGUUUUAUGAAGGGAAAACUUGAUAUUGAUUUAUUACUUUACCUUAAAUUGAAUUCUUACAUGAAAGGGGGAGGGAUUCAGUAAUGUCCUGAAAAGCCCUCAGCAGUGUUUACAGAAAGAGAAGUUGACCUCCGAUCAGUGCAGUGACCAAACACUCUAGAAGACAGAUGAUGAGGCGUAUGCUUCCCACCCCUUAGAUGGGUUGCAGAAUGAGACAUACAUUUUCAGUCUCAUCUAACAUGUGGAUCUUUUUGACUUCAUUACGCUUUUUUGAUUUAAGGGAAAGCUUUGGGGGAGGAAAGAUUAAUGUAAUUGGAGUACUGAUGAUGUUAGGGGAAAAAAAGAAAAGAAAGAUAAGAACAUUUAAGAAACAUUUUUUAAAAUACACAGAAGAGAGCAGAAGGACGUUCAGAAGGAGACACAUAUGAACAGGGCUAUGUGUUAAAUUUAAUAUAUACUUAAAAAAAAUCAGAAUAGAGAUUCAUGCUUUCAUAUACAUCCUCCUUUUCUGUUCUUUGUAUAUGGAAAUGUUUGUGUUUUUCAACAAUUGUUAAGUUUAUUUUAUAAAGAAAGGAAGUUUUUUUUGUUGUUUUUUUUUAAAGAGAAGUUGAAUUCCCCCAGAUUCCAUUCUGGGAAGUCCCAUAAGAUAACCAACCAGAGCAGAUUUCAACUUGAGCAAUGCCAUAUUGUAGAACGUUCCCUAUACUUCAUUCUGCUCUGGAGAGAUGAGAUUACCUUUGCCACUCUGAGCCCCUAAGGGUUCUGGUUAUUUAUAGUUUCCUUCUCUGACCUAACAGGUCAGAUGGGAUGACACAGCAUCCCAAGUCAGUUUAAAAAACUCACUGAAGCAAAAACAAAUUACAACAGCUUUGGUUGUGAGUUUGAGUCAGAAUAUUCAGUCUGGAAUGUACCUUAGAGAGUUCCUUAUUCAUUGGACACAGAAACAAACUAUGACCCAGAAGAAGUAAUACCUGGGACAAAAAUUUAGCAUUCAUCCACUCAGAUUGUGUUUUUUCUCUUUCAUUAUCCUGACUCUCCUUUACAAUUCCUCCAUAAAUUUGUCUAAAUGAUUCUUAAGAAAAAUAACACCCUUUAGGGCUUUUAUUCAUUUAACAAAAGAGUAUAAUUUUAAAAAUACUUUUAACAGCACCAAAUUUUCUCCUAGUAUCCUGCCCUUCCCCCCAUCCCAUAUAAUAAGUAAUAUUUUUUUAAAGAAUAAAAAAUACAAGAGAGGAAAAAAAACAGCAAAACUGGUCAAUACAGAAGAAGAAUCUCAAAUGUGCACAGUAUAUAACAACUACAGAUCUCCUAGCUUGACAAAAGAGUGAAGAAGGAAUGUCUCUUCAUCUUUUGGGCGUGGGGGGGGGGAGGAGAAUACUUAUUCUUUGUGAUUUUUCCACAUUCAUUUUUUAUUGUUUUAUAGCUCUUAUUUCCAUUUAUCCUAUAGAAGUUGUGUAUUUUAUUGUCUUAGUUCUGUUUACUUCCCUUUGCAUCAGGUCCUCUAAAUCUUUUCAUGUUUCUCCAUAUUCAUAUUUGUUAUUUCUUACAGAACUAUAGAAUUCUAUUACAUUCAUGUACCACAUUUUGUUUUUAGCCAUUCCCCCAACAAUGAGCAUCUACAUUGUUUCCAAUUCUUUGCUAUCAAAAAAAGUGCUGCUAUGAAUGUAUUAAUUAUAUGGGGACUUUCUUCUUAUCAAUGACCUCAUUAGGACAUAAGCCUAGUAAUGGAAUCUCUGAGUCAAAAUGUAUGGGCAUUUUAGUCAUUAUGAACAAUUUUCAAGGAAGAAUUACAAUUAUAAAAAACCAUAUGAAAACAUAUUCCAAGUCACUACAUAGAGAGAAAAAAAUUAAAAAACUACAGUGUCAUAUCCUAUGAAAUGGAGGAAGACAAUAAUAAAAAUGGAAAAAAUCAAUGCUGAAAGAGUUGUGAAAAGACACACACUAAUACACUGUUGUGUGGUAAUGAAUUGGUCCAACAUUCUAGAUAUUAAUUUGGAAAUGUGGAAGAAAGCUGCCUAAAUUAUUCAUGCCUUUUAGUCCAUCAAACCAAAAUGACAUAGCUUUCAAGGACGACAGAAACAAAAUUCCAGUACCUACCAAAAUAUUCAUUGUAACGGUCUUUAUGGUAGUAAAGAAUUUGAAGGAAAGUGGGUAUCUAGUUGAUUGAGGAAUGAUUGAACAAACUGUAAUGGAAUAUUAUUAUACAGUAAGAAGUCACUAAUGUGAGGAAUUCAGAGACAAAUGGGAAGAUUCUUAGAAACUGAUUCAAGGUGAGAACCAGAAGAAUAAUUAUACAUGACUACAACAACAUAAAUAAAAAGACCCCUGAAAGAACGUUGAACUCUGAACUAUUGAAAAGUCAAUAAUAGUUCUGUUGAAUGAGUCAAUGAAUGCUUACUUCAUACAAAGCACAAGAGCUGGAGAUACAGACAGAAAGCUAAGAUAGUCCCUGCUCUCAAGGAGCUUACACUCUAAUAAGGGAGACAACACAGUUUUAGCUGCAAGUCAGUUGUUAAAGUCCCAUAGUCCUUAGAGGGCAUCAGCUAAACUGUUAGUUCUGGUUGACUUCUUGUCUUUUCCAUUGAUUCAGUCAUAUUGUUUUUUAAAAUGCUGAAUCAUUUGAUAGGGCCUAGGAUUUUGAUAGCAACAAGUGUCUUCUGAGUCUUCAAUAAAUGUGGUUGAAGCACCUGUAGGAACAAUUACAACACUACAUCUCCACAUCUUCCCAGGAUGACAGCUAAAUCAAUCAGUCAAUUAAUAGCCUGCUAUGUGUCAGGCAUUAUGAAAAGUGCUGGAAAUGCAAAGAAAGACAUAAAAUGGUUCCUGUUCUCCAGGAAUGCACAGUCUAAUGGCUGAAAGUACCAGACUGGAAACGUUGCCAUUCCCAAGGCUUUUGGAUUUAGGUUCCUGGACUGUCUCCAUCAGAGUGAAGGUCGAUGGUGGUCAGGGUGAUGACAUGACAUUUAGAUGGCAGAAAACAACAAAGCUCUCUACCCAUUCUUGCUUCAAAUUUGCUACCUCUUGACUGUCAAGAGUGCCUUGCUCGCCUGCCCUGUGGGUGGCAGUUGGUUGACAGUUGGCCCCUUCUCAAGAAGAGUUGCCUCCCUAGCUGAUGGUUAUGGGAGGUGGACUUAGAAGCAGGAUCAAUGAUUGACACAGGUGCUGUCACUCUCAAAAAUCCAUCUUUAGGAAGACACCUGUUGGUGGCAGUUGGUCAGUAUUUCCUGCUGUUGAUAUUGAGCAAGGCAAGAAGAAACAAUCUCCACAAUGAUUUCUCCCAUCAACAGUGACUGUGGGGAUCAUAUUGGAAGCAGAAAUCCCUACUAGGAUGUGGAUCGCAAUUGUCUAGAGCACUAAGUCCAGAAGAAGCCAAGCUCCAGUGUCCAGCUAAGGCAGAGAAGUCUGAAAUGCCACAAGUUAAAGGUCAGGCACCAGCCUAGAAAGUUGAGGAGAUGUCCUGCACCAGAGAAUGAUGGUCCUCAGGAACUAUUUGUUUUUACCAGAAGAGGCUCAAUUGACAGCUUGGCUUGUUAUGUGGCCCCCAGGCUUGAGUUCUUAGAUGUAAAGUGUGCCAUCCAACGUCAAAGACUAUGCAUAUGGAGCAGAACUCCAAGGGUGGCCUGAUGAAAAAGCCCUGAGCAUAAUUUGGCCAGUGCCACAUUGAAUGCUGCUUGUCAGUGUUGGGUUGUCAAUGCAGGGAUCAGUUAUGACUUCAACUUACACUCUAAGCAUGGAAGGUUCAUGUGGAUAAAGAUGCUUUAUUCAGAAUACCACAUGACGGUGGAACUGUAGUGAUACCAGAAGGAAGUGUGAGAGUUAUUCGUGAUCUCUACAGAAUUAGUAUAACUAAGUAGAAGUGUAGCUGAGUGCUUAGUACUUCCACCAGACAAUAUGCCAAGACAUAUAUGGAAACCUUGAUUCGCUGAGCAUUGAACACUUGUCUCCAAUGUCUAUGGACAACAGGCAAGCCGAAGCUGGGACUGAUGUACUAAGAAAAGUGAUACAAGCCAAAAAGCAAGGGAACUCUGCUGUUGAGACAGUUGCAGAAGUUGGAGCUAUCCAGUGGAUUACUGUCCCAGAUUUUGACUGUUCCCUUACAUGGAAACAUGAAGUAGUUGGUGCUGACCAGAGCAUAUUACCUGACCAUAACAGCCCUCCUUGAUGACUAAUGAGUCAAAAAAUGACCCUCUAGUUGGUAAGAAACAGAUUUUUACCAGCCUAAGAUGACUGCAGAUGUCCCUAAGAAGGGAGAAAUUUGUGCCUAAUGUGUGCAAAGCAUCAUGUCAUGCUCCGUAUUUGGAGGAUUUAAGUGUGAGUAAUCUUGAAACUUAUUUAUAAGAACUUUUUAUUUCUGCAAGAAGACAGUCAAACUGCAGUAUAAUUCUAGGCAAAUCACAUAACCUCCGUUGCCCAGUCCCUACCACUCUUCUGCUUUGGAACGAACACACAGUAUUGAUUCUAAGACAGAACAUAAGCAUUUUUUUAAAAAAAGAAAAUAGUAAAAUUAUAAGCCAUAUCUUAUCGAAGAUGAAUUGUUUCCUCAGGUAUAUACGAGCAUACCCAGCCAAGAACCAGAAAGCAUCUGUGGUUUUGUUUUUGGCUUUGUUUUGCAGAAGAACUACUGGGGCUAGGCAAUUGGAGUUAAGUGGUUGGCCCAGGGGUCACUCUGCUAAGAAGUAUCUGAGGUCAGCUUUGAACCCAAGACCUCCCAUCCCCAGGCCUGGCUCUCUAUCCAAUGAUAGUUGCCCCUUCUAGACCUACUUAUGAUGUUAUACAUGUACCUGAAAAAAUAUAGAUGUGUGUCGAGAUGAAAAUAUUAGACAUUGCCUGUGUCUUGAAUGUAACUGAAUGUUUUAUUGUCUCUUAGUUGAGUAUUCUUAUUUAUUAUUUUGCUAUUCUCCUCAUUUGAUUAUUUGUUACGGUGAUGCUAUUUGUUAAUUGGGGUUUUUUGUUUAUUUGCAUGUGUGCUAAGGCCAUUUUACUAUACUGAUACAACCAGCUGGCUUUUCUUUAUUGUUAUGAUUCUGUUGUUAGUUGGAGUAUGGAUACCAAGGUACUGGAGCUAUGUCUGUACGAGCAGUACAGUGUCCUGGACCGUGCUUGGCAGGCAACUUCGACAUGUUUAUCACCAAAGUACCCUGUCAAGUCAUCUUUGUAGAGUGAGUGCUGUAUAUACAGUAUAUAAAGCUAACCUCCAUCUUUCUUUCCUUACUCUUUUCAGUGAAGGACACCAGGAAAAUAUUCCUUUUUGUUUAAAGUGCUGGUGUGUGUCUGCUGUAGAAUCAGACUUGAAGCUCACCCCAGCUAAUUCUUACAAAAGAAUGCAAAGCGUUUCAGCCCAUACUCCCAGAUAGGUUUGUUUGUCCUUGGAAGAGUUUUUGUACACACAGGGAGAGUAACUCCUGAUUAGCUGAGAAACUAUGGGGAAGAAGCGAAAAAGACAGGGUGAAACUAGAGCGGUAGGCCUAUGGGACGAAGCUAGCACCCCAACAUGUUUCAUGAUGAACACUAUCUGAAACUCCAGCAGCUGCUAAAGCUGAUUACGCCAGUGUGAUUGGUCUCUUCCUGGUGGAGCUGAGGUUUCAUCUUGCACCUGGUUCGCAGCCCCCCAACUCCUAUGUAUUCUAUUGCCACACUAAGCUGUAUGAUUUCACCGAUUAUUGUUUUUGCUGGUUGCUUUGAUACAUAAAUGUUUGCUAGCUAAAUGUGACUAUUUUUCAUUUUUUUUUUGUUUUUAAUGCCAUCUGUUAGUUUCAAGGCAACAAAGAGUGAUAAGCACUAAGCUAUGGUGCCCAGGGUCACACAGCUAAUAAAUGUCUGAGACCAGAUUUGAACCCAGAACCUUCUGCCUCUAGGCAUGGCUCUCAAUCCUCUGAGCCACCUACCCCCUGUGACUAUCUAGUUCGUGUGGAACUACAUCUCCCUUUUAUUCUGAACCCCCCAAAAUAAUCAUAUCCUUAGACUGCAAAUAUCUGAUAUCUGAUAGAAAAUAAAAUCCUAAGACAAGCAUGGUAAGAACUUGGCAAUUGGGAUUAAGUACUUUCCCAUGUUCACACUGCUAGGAAAUGUCUGUGACCAGAUUUGAACCCAGGCUCUCCCACCUCCAAGCUUGUUGCUCUAUCCAUUGAACCACCUAGCAGCCUCUAGCCCAGUACUUCUUUUGAAAAUAGGAGAGUGGGGGCAACUAAGUGACUCAGUGAAUGGAGUACUACGCACAGGCUUGGGAAGACUUGAGUUCAAAUUUGCCCUCAGAUAUUUCCUAGCUGUGUGAUCUUGGGCAAGUCGUUUAGCCCCAUUUGCCUAACCCUUGCUCUUUAGAGUUGAUACUAAGAAGGUAAGGGUUUAAAAACAAAGGAAAAGAGGAGAGUGGAAGUGGAAUGAUUGCUGGGUCAAGGAUGAACCCUCCAGGAUGAAGCUUCAAUGUUCCUAAAAUAUAGGGCAGAAGGCAUUCCAAAUCAAUCAAAAAUCCAUAUUCCAUGUUCAUCUAGACCUUGUGACAAGGCCCUCUUAAAAACUAACAUGGGAUUGCAAUAAGAUUCUUAUAGUUUUGUUUUUGUUUUGUUUUUCUAAAACCCUUACCUUCUGUAGUACUGUGGUUUCAAGACAGAAGAAUGGUAAGGGCUAAGUAACUUGGCCAGGGUUACACAGCUAGGAAGUGUCUGAGGCCAGCUUUUAAUUCAGGACCUUCCGCUUCCAGGCCUGGCUCUCUACUGAGCCACCUGGAUGCUCCCUUUUAUAUUUUAUCUUUUUUACAUAUUUAUAUAUAUAUAUUUUUUUUAAUAUUUAUUUUUGAUGGUUUCAUAGGUUCUUGGGUUGUUUUUGGUUUGUUUUUGUUUUUUACUAGACCACAUAUCAAAACUUGCUGUUUUCCAUAGUUUAAAAUGUUUGCUUUUUUACCCAUAUAAAACAGAGAUUAAUUUGGCCACACUAAUGAAUCAAAUUCUGAUUUCUAAAUCUGCUUAUCUUCUCAACAUUAUCCAGACAACAGAAGGCUGGAUAGCUCUAUUUUGGCAGAUAGCUUGAUGACUCCAGUCACAUGAGAUGGGUGUAUAGCAGGAAAUGGAGUAAGAACCUCAGAUCCCAAAUCCUGAUGACGACUUCUAAUUUUUAAGAUCUUUCUUACAGUCUUAGAAAGAAGGGUGCUCAUGCCCUGGCUGAUUUUGGGAGGGAAAGGAAAGCCAGUCCUGUCACCAAUCCAAAGCCCCUCAGUAUUGCCCUCCCUCAACGUGCUGCUCAGCAUCAUUUGGGAGGUGGGCAGCGAGGAUCUGGGAGCAGAUACUGUCUCCCUACCACCCCCAAGGAAGGUUGCUGCCACCUCCCUUCUCUCUUCCCUGCUGUCAAGAGAACCAGUAAAUUGUCUUGGCUUGCCAAGAGAAAGAUUCACAACUGUCUUCUGCCUCAGGCAUUUCCACUGAGGCAUAUCCUACCCAUCACCUGUCUUGAUCUCCAAAAUACUUGUCAUAUAUUCUGCUAUGGGGAGCUAUGCUCCAAGGCCUAUAUCAUCUUGGAUCCUGAUGCUAGUCGGUGGGUGUCCCAUGCAGGAGGAGCAGGCAAGAGCUCCCACCAGCACAAGCCAAGGAAAUAAGAUACACAGGACUUGUAGAGGAAUUUGAGAAGUCACCUAACCCAGAUGGAGCAUCAGGAUACCUGGCUUCUGGGCUCUAACUGAAGCUAUGGCCUGUGCCUCAGGGGAGUUUCUAAGGUAAUGAGUUGAUUUCUGAUCUUCCAACUUUGCAAGGGUGUUAGGAAAGCCAACAAAUUUUUAGAUCUCACAUUAUUCAAAACAUAAAAACUGUGUACAAAAUAGAACCUAAGCAGCACCUAAAAGAAUUUGAAAGUGUCCCUGAGAACACUUUUUCCUGAGGAGGAAGAAACCACAGAAAGUCUUUACCUAAGGUCUGGGAAUUUGAUUUUAAAAAAUAUUUUGAUAUUCAAAUCCAGCCUCAGAUACUUAUUAACUGUGUGAUCCUGAGCAAGUCACUUCACCCUAUUUGCCUCAGAAAAAAAAAGGUAGAAAAAUGUUUUGAUACCUGUAUUUCAAUAUAAUAAGUUUCCUUUAUAAUCCUAUAUAUUUUAUUAUGUGUAUCUAUAAACAUGAUUCUUGGAAGAGAGUCUAUAAGUAAGUACCACUAGAAUACUAAAGGGGUCCAGGAUACUAAAAAAAUUAAGGAGAAUUAUAUAAGACCUCAUAGAAGCAAGAGUUUUUUGAGUCUUGAAGGAUGAUGAUAGAGUUGAACAUUCCAGAUAUAGGAAACUGUAUAAGAAUUUAACAUGAAUCUAUACCCUGCAUUCCUUUUUAUUUUAUUUUAAAAUUAAAAUUAUUUUAAAAUUUUAUUUAGAACAUUUUUCCAUGGUUAUAUGAUUCAUGAUUUUUCUCACCUCUCUUCCCUCCCUACUCCCAGAGCUGACAAGCAGUUCCACUGGGUUAUACAUGCAUCAUUGUUCAAAACCUAUGUUUUGAAUAUGUCCAUGUUACUCAUAUUUGCAGUAGAAUGAUCUUUUAACAUCAAAACCCUAACCAUAUCCCUGUCAAAUCACGUGAUCCUACAUUCCUUUUUAAAAGGAAAGUUUUCAUUUGAAUUUGAAAAUCCAUUUCAGUUUUAUCCCUACCCUUUGGUUGGAAUAGGAACAAGGCCUGAGGCUUAUCUGUGUAAGAGGGACACCCAAAGCCUCUUGGCUCUCUGGUGUCCUGGAAGAUGCUUGCUUCUUUUGCCACAUCCAGCAGGCAGGCCUCUGACUCAUACUGAGGUCAAGCUCAUCCACUCAGGAAGACCCAGAAAAGGUAGCAUCACAGAGGAGGGUAUAUGUAAUGAAUCAAGGAAGCUUUCUGGACUGUUCUGGCCAAGCAGCAGGGCCAAACAGAGACAAGAGCAAGCUGCUUGGUUUAGCUAGGGAAGAUGCGUGGCCAGCCGUGUAAAGAUUAAAAUGAUUAAUUUUUUGCAAACGAUCAAAGGGGGGGAAUGUGAAAAAUAGACUCGAAUACAGGACUACAAUCCCCAUGAGCCUUUGCUCCACUUCCCCAGAAUGCCUUGUAAUCUCACCUGGGCCGAGAUCGAGAAGGUAUUUAAGACUGAUUCAAAGGCUUUUGAGAGGUGGGGUCUUUUGGACUUCCGUUUUGGAGCAGAGGCGUCUCUUCCAUGAUGUGAGGUUAUUUUGUCUAGGCCUCUGGCCUAGGCACAUGUUUCUUACUUGUAUAUUCUUAAUCUUUAACCUUUAAUAAACCUCUAAAAAAUAUAAUACUCCUUGCAGAGAGAAACUAAUUUCUACCUGCCUCAGUCUCCCCAUCUCCCCUUAAAUUUUAAUCUUUACAGCCGGCCAUGGGGACUAUGUGCCUUUUCUUUCUCCAACCUGCUUUUCACUAUUUAAUGAAUAAUUGUAAAUUAAUUUACAGUCUCCAGAGAAUUUUAAUUGUAACAAAUGUGAACAAAGACAGAUGUGGUGGGCAAUGGAGGACUGUAAUUUAGGAAUGGAGAGGAGUCCAGUUUCCUGGAGCCUCAGAAUAAGAAGUUUAAGGACCAGCAGAAGACUUCCUCAGGUCGCUUCCUCAGUUAUCUAUCUCUGUGUGGAGUCUUUAGCCAGAAGUCCACCAGCAUAGCCUCCUCUACAGCCUGAGCCACUCACCCAGCAAGCUGACGCAGGAUCCAGGAAAAAGAGUCUCCUCCAGAGCCAAGGCAGAAAUCUCUGGAACCAAUCUCUCCAAACACCAGGAAAGGAAUGGUAGAAGGCCCACUUCUUCAGCCCAUGUUGGUCUCUUUUAUACUCCAUUUUCCAUGUCAUUUCCUGUCUCUUCCCCUUCUUCACAGAAACCAAUUGCAGCUUUUCAAUUUGCUUAGUCCUACCCAGGGCUGGGCAGUCCCCUUUGGAAGUGAGAGUUUUUGACUUGUGAACUCUCUUACUUAAGUGUUAAGUAGGGGUGCUUUAUGUUCUUGAUUGACUAAGUUAAAGGUUGCUGCGUGAUUUCAUUAAAAUAGACAAAGAGAGAUAAUAAUUCUAUCUUCACAGAAGGAAUAAUAGUAUGAAAAUUUUGAAGAGGAGGUUAAAACUAGAGUUUUUGCAGCAUCUUUGAAUACUUGCUAAGGAAACUAGACCAUGUGGUAAGUAAUGGGGAGUCACUGAAAGUUUUUGAGCAGUAGAGUCAUGCAGAUAUAUGAUUUUAUGCUUUUAAUUAGCUUAAUCUUCCACUGAGAAACCAUAAUAUACUGAAUUGCCUUUUUUUUCAAAUGGCUUUUAAAGUAGUAGUUUUCUUUCAUCUUUUACCUGGUUCUCCUUGUCAGUGACAUUUAUGUACCAGAUGGCUGAUGGGCAUACUGUGGCUGUGGAGCAAAGCAAUACCAAUAGUCUCAAGGGUUGGCUAAUCCGCACGUGCUAUGGACUUUGUUUAGUCCAUGCUUAAACCAGUCACCUCCAAAUAUUUUUGAUUAUGCAUCUCUAUCAAUAAAAAUUUUGAACACAUUGCCAAUAUAGGCAUAUUUAUAAAUUAUACACAAGUACUACUAUAAUAAUAUGUUGCAUACAUUAUAAAAAUAAAACAAGGCAUUCUUUUAUUUAACAAAAUAAACUU